UGUGUGUGUGUGUGCAGACCCCUGGCACUUGGCCCAUCUUAGAUGGAAAUACUAAAACUGGUGAAAACCAACGAGUGUGCCAUGAAGAAAGAAAACCUCCCAUGUUUGAGAAGAGAAGGUGAUGCUCAAGACUUAGCUCUGUAACUAGAGGCUGCGUGAUGAUGACAGAAAGUACCUCAGGGAACAAAAAGACCGACCUCCCAAGUGCCAUUGCUUGAGCUGUGAGAGAAAGGAGACAUUUUACAAGCCAGAAGUGAAGGGAGAAGGAACACUUUAAAAGACUAAGCCAGAAUUUAACUAUCAUAGAAGACUGAGAUCAGAGAGGAACAGCAGCAGCAGCAGCAGCAGCAACAGCAACAGCAACAUCAGCAACAGCAACAGCAACAGCAACAACAGCAACAGCAACAGCAACAGCACAACAGCAACAACAGCAGCAACAGCAGCAGCAACAUCAGCAACAGCAACAGCAACAUCAGCAACAGCAACAGCAACAUCAGCAACAGCAACAGCAACAUCAGCAACAGCAACAGCAACAUCAGCAACAGCAACAGCAACAUCAGCAACAGCAACAGCAACAGCAACAACAGCAACAGCAACAGCAACAGCACAACAGCAACAACAGCAGCAACAGCAGCAGCAACAUCAGCAACAGCAACAGCAACAACAGCAACAGCA
rnacentral:lncRNA from 1 species